GAAACUGUGCUUGAAGUUGGAUGCACUGUCUCAUUUCCACUUCACUCCAAAACCGGUGAUAGAAGAUAUGUCUAUCCAAGCAAAUGUCCCUGCACUUGCCAUGGAAGAGAUUGCACCUAUGGCGGUCUCUGAUGCAGCUAUGCUGGCUCCCGAGGAAGUAUUUACUGGCAAAGGAGAUGUUAAAGAAGAAACAGAGUUGACACAAGCAGAGAGAAAAAGGAGGAGGGCGAACAAGAAAAGGAAAUUUAAAGCUGAGUCAGCAAAAAGAACAGUAAAGCCGGCACCAGAAAAUACAUUAACUAAUGGCGUUGAGGGUAAUGAUAAGUCAUAAAAGUGAACCAAAACUGAACCGGAGUGGAGCUCUCAUGCCUCCCUCGCUUAAAUAGCGGUAACAUUUUUUUGGCACCAAAUGGUUUGUGUCCUUUCUCAGCCAGAGUGCGAGCUGAAUGAUUUGUGUUCAGCGCUCCAUCCAUAUAGAAGACGACGAUAAUUACCAUUGUGGCCUCAUUACUGUGCUACUUUUGCAUUUCAGGAAGUAAAUGUCGUUGCCAGGCGAGAAAAAUGAGUUGCUUCGUAUGAUAGGAAACUUCACUACAAUGUAAUGUAUUUUUUUGAUAGCAAUUUGGUUGAAAAAAGAGUGUUGUUUCACAAGAUAGAAGACUUCAUUACGUUGUAAUGUAUUUUUAUUAACAGCAAUUCGGUGGUCUUAAGAUUUUACAAUGUAAAAUAUGGAAC
rnacentral:misc_RNA from 1 species